CUGCUCCCUUACGCGCAGAGGCCCUGCGUCCCCAAACGCCUUGGUUCUCGCCAGGAGGCGCCUUUCUUCCUUCGCGGGGGGCAGGAGGCGAUUGUGGCGCCCACUGCGAAGACUAUGCAGAGUGCGAUAAGGGUGGCAUAGGAAAUACAACUUCAUUUCCUACAACUUGAAAACUAACUUCAAAAAUACUCAAACUAAGGAAAACUACUAAAGAUAUAUAUGAAGGUAUUUUUCUGGAGUCUCCUCUGUUGCUCGGACUGGAGUGCAGUGGGGCCAUCUCAGCUCACUGCAACCUCUGCCCCCCCGGGGUCAAGCGACUCUCCUGCCUCAGCCUCCCAAGUAGCUGCGACUAUAGGCGCCCACCACUAUAGCUGGGAUUACAGAUACAAAGACUCAGCUAUCUGGACUUGAUUGGGAAUCAGAGUUUAAUACUAUAUUCAGAUCUCCAAAUGAGUACUAACUAAAGGCUUAAAAUGUUUAGAUUUAAAAUAACUGAAAUAAUUCAGAGACCAAGUCUAAAAUCAAAAAUUACUCCAACAUCUAAUUUCUUUUUAAUAUUUCUGUACUGUUCCUAAGUAUAUGUGAAUUAGUCUUUCUCUGGCAUUAUCUAAAGCAAUUAGAAUUAACAUCUUUCUGAAUUAAGCUCCAAGGUGUGAAGUUAAUUUUUUCACAAAGAAAAUGCAACUCCGAUAUCAAAACAUGUAAGAGCCUCCUUUAUACCAAGCAAUGUUUUUAGUGUAUUAUGUAUACUGAUUCACUUAACUUUCUUAACAAUCUCAUGAAGUGCUAUUAUCUAAAUGGACAAGCUGAGGCUCAGAAGAGGUUAAAUGAACUCCCCCACUAAGGUAAUAUAUACCUACCAAGUGGGGCAGCCAAGACAAAAAUGCAGUCAGUCUAACUCAAGAGUCCAUGCUUUUAACCAUUACUCUUAUUUUCAAAUUUAAACUAUUUUCUCUCAUGUACUACUGGCAAACUUUUAUACAGAACAAUUUGGCUCUGUGUGUGUGUGUGUGUGUGUGUGUAUCUGUGUAUAUA